UACGAAGGGGGCUAGCGUUGCUCGGAAUCACUGGGCGUAAAGGGCGCGUAGGCGGCCGUUUAAGUCGGGGGUGAAAGCCUGUGGCUCAACCACAGAAUUGCCUUCGAUACUGGACGGCUUGAGUAUGGUAGAGGUUGGUGGAACUGCGAGUGUAGAGGUGAAAUUCGUAGAUAUUCGCAAGAACACCGGUGGCGAAGGCGGCCAACUGGAC
rnacentral:rRNA from 1 species